CCUACGGGUGGCAGCAGUGGGGGAUAUUGGACAAUGGGGGAAACCCUGAUCCAGCGACGCCGCGUGAGUGAAGAAGUAUUUCGGUAUGUAAAGCUCUAUCAGCAGGGAAGAAAGAAAUGACGGUACCUGAGUCAGAAGCCCCGGCUAACUACGUGCCAGCAGCCGCGGUAAUACGUAGGGGGCAAGCGUUAUCCGGAAUUACUGGGUGUAAAGGGAGCGUAGACGGUAAUGCAAGUCUGGAGUGAAAGGCGGGGGCCCAACCCCCGGACUGCUCUGGAAACUGUGUAACUGGAGUGCAGGAGAGGCAGGCGGAAUUCCUAGUGUAGCGGUGAAAUGCGUAGAUAUUAGGAGGAACACCAGUGGCGAAGGCGGCCUGCUGGACUGUAACUGACGUUGAGGCUCGAAAGCGUGGGUAUCGAACAGGAUUAGAUACCCUGGUAGUC
rnacentral:rRNA from 1 species